UACGGGGGGAGCAAGCGUUGUUCGGAUUUACUGGGCGUAAAGGGCGCGUAGGCGGCGCAACAAGUCACUUGUGAAAUCUCCGGGCUUAACCCGGAGCGGCCAAGUGAUACUGUCGUGCUAGAGUGCGGAAGGGGCUACUGGAAUUCUCGGUGUAGCGGUGAAAUGCGUAGAUAUCGAGAGGAACACCUGCGGCGAAGGCGGGUAGCUGGGCCGACACUGACGCUGAGGAGCGAAAGCGUGGGGAGCGAACAGG
rnacentral:rRNA from 1 species